GUUGCAGUGAGCUGAGAUCAUGCCACUGCACUCCUGCCUGGGUGACAGAGCGAAACUCUGUCUCAAAAAAUCAUAUGUUGAAUCCUAAUCCCUAGCACCUCAAAAUGUGACUGUAUUUGGAGUUAAGGCUUUUAAAGAGGUAAAUUCAUAUGGGAGUGCCUAAUCCAAUAUGACCAGAGUCUUUAUAAGAAGAGGAGAUUAGGACCCAGGCACACACAGAGAGAAGACUGCAUGAAGACACAAGGAGAAGAUGGCAUCUUUUAAGCCACCUGGCCUGUGGAUUACGGCAACCUGAAAAAAUGAAUAUAGAUUCUGAAGAGCAGGAGACAGAGACAGGAAGACAGCAGCCACAAAGGCUCAGGGAGGUCCACAUUUCAGGUAGGGAGGCUUCCCAGGUGGGGUCCUUAGGGGCACAAGCACGUGGUGAGCACUCUGUCCACAUUUGUUGAUGUAAAUGCUGGUAAUAGCAUAAAUACAUUUGGGAGCAAGCAACUCACUUUUGGUGAACACAGGGUGGUCUCUGGCCUGAGCACAGAGGGUGAUGUGGGCACAUGUCAGAAGGUUUUGCAGAAAGAGUCAGGCGUGUGGGGAUGUGGUGCUACUUUCAGCCUCAAAUGCUUCCCUCCCUGUGACCAGAAGGUCCCACAGAAAAAUGAGCUGGGCACAGGGACAAAGAGGAUGUGCUGAGCUUUAGAAAAGACAGAGUAAAGAGAUUCAUGAAAAUGUCAGGUCUACAGCCCACAGCCUGGGUACCAGAAGCCAGAGCUCAUGUGUGCAUGUGUGUGCAUACAUUUGUGUGUGUGUGUGUGUGUGUGUGUGUGUGUGUGUGUGUGUUACCUGCUGCUCUGCACUGGGCCAUGCUAACACCUAGCUCGGGCCAAGCACAAGGACCCUGUGAAGAGGCUCACAAAUGACUCCUGACUCCUGAGGAUUUAUGUACCAUCUGCUGCUGGACUUACUGCAGUCCCUCCAAGCACACCCUCAAGGACUACUGAGCUGGGGUGCCAUCAGUCUUGGGAAAAGAGAGUGAGAAUUCCCUAAAGCAAUGUUUGGCAAACUUGACUACUAUUCUUUUCAAAGGCCAAGAAACAUUCCUAUGGACCCUGCCUUGACUUCAGUUAUUGCUGUGGAAAUAAAGCAGCACAAACACAAACAGCUAAGCUUAUAGUUGCUUUACAAGUGCAAAACAAAAACCAAAUGUGUAAAUUAAACACAAUUGCAAACAGCAAUAAAACUCAAACUAACAACAUUA